rnacentral:rRNA from 1 species
GAUGAACGCUGGCGGCGUGCCUAAUACAUGCAAGUCGAGCGAACGGACGAGAAGCUUGCUUCUCUGAUGUUAGCGGCGGACGGGUGAGUAACACGUGGAUAACCUACCUAUAAGACUGGGAUAACUUCGGGAAACCGGAGCUAAUACCGGAUGAUAUUUUGAACCGCGUGGUUCAAAAGUGAAAGACGGUCUUGCUGUCACUUAUAGAUGGAUCCGCGCUGCAUUAGCUAGUUGGUAAGGUAACGGCUUACCAAGGCAACGAUGCAUAGCCGACCUGAGAGGGUGAUCGGCCACACUGGAACUGAGACACGGUCCAGACUCCUACGGGAGGCAGCAGUAGGGAAUCUUCCGCAAUGGGCGAAAGCCUGACGGAGCAACGCCGCGUGAGUGAUGAAGGUCUUCGGAUCGUAAAACUCUGUUAUUAGGGAAGAACAUAUGUGUAAGUAACUGUGCACAUCUUGACGGUACCUAAUCAGAAAGCCACGGCUAACUACGU